UGUGGUUGUGGCUUAGUGGUAGAGCGCUUGCCUUGCACAUGUGAGCCACUGGGUUCAAUCCUCAGCACCAUAG
rnacentral:tRNA from 1 species